UGAGAAGCUUCGACCAAGGUUCGAUUCGAGCGCAGCGAGAAAGCGUUGCCGCAGGCAACGACCCGAAGGGCGAAGCGCGCAGCGCUGAGUAAUCCUUCCCCCACCACCA
rnacentral:sRNA from 1 species